rnacentral:rRNA from 1 species
GACGAACGCUGGCGGCGUGCUUAACACAUGCAAGUCGAACGGAAAGGCCCUGCUUUUGUGGGGGGCUCGAGUGGCGAAAGGGUGUGUAACACGUGAGUAACCUGCCCUUGACUUUGGGAUAACUUCAGGAAAAUGGGGCUAAUACCGGAUAGGAGCUCCUGCUGCAUGGUGGGGGUUGGAAAGUUUCGGCGGGUGGGGAUGGACUCGCGGCUUAUCAGCUUGUUGGUGGGGUAGUGGCUUACCAAGGCUUUGACGGGUAGCCGGCCUGAGAGGGUGACCGGCCACAUUGGGACUGAGAUACGGCCCAGACUCCUACGGGAGGCAGCAGUGGGGAAUAUUGCACAAUGGGCGGAAGCCUGAUGCAGCAACGCCGCGUGCGGGAUGACGGCCUUCGGGUUGUAAACCGCUUUCGCCUGUGACGAAGCGUGAGUGACGGUAAUGGGUAAAGAAGCACCGGCUAACUACGUG